rnacentral:rRNA from 1 species
UGACAGUCCCGUACACGAAAACACACAGGUUGUGAACUCGAAGAGUAGGGCGGGACACGUGGUAUCCUGUCUGAAUAUGGGGGGACCAUCCUCCAAGGCUAAAUACUCCUGACUGACCGAUAGUGAACCAGUACCGUGAGGGAAAGGCGAAAAGAACCCCGGCGAGGGGAGUGAAAAAGAACCUGAAACCGUGUACGUACAAGCAGUGGGAGCACCCUCGUGGUGUGACUGCGUACCUUU